rnacentral:rRNA from 1 species
AUAUGGUAGUUUUUUCAGAUAAUCGAAUGACUUGGAAAAGUCAGUCAAAGAGGGUAAAAACCCCGUAGAUGAAAUUUGGAAGACACCUAGGAGGAUCCUGAGUACGGCGGAACACGAGGAAUUCCGUCGGAAUCCGGGAGGACCAUCUCCCAAGGCUAAAUACUCCCUAGUGACCGAUAGUGAACCAGUACCGUGAGGGAAAGGUGAAAAGCACCCCGGAAGGGGAGUGAAAUAGAACCUGAAACCGUGUGCCUACAACAAGUCAAAGCCCGUUAAUGGGUGAUGGCGUGCCUUUUGUAGAAUGAACCGGCGAGUUACGAUUGCAUGCGAGGUUAAGUCGAAGAGACGGAGCCGUAGCGAAAGCGAGUCUGAAUAGGGCGUUUGAGUAUGUAGUCGUAGACCCGAAACCAUGUGAUCUACCCAUGUCCAGGUUGAAGGUGCGGUAAAACGCACUGGAGGACCGAACCCACGUACGUUGAAAAGUGCGGGGAUGAGGUGUGGGUAGCGGAGAAAUUCCAAACGAACUUGGAGAUAGCUGGUUCUCUCCGAAAUAGCUUUAGGGCUAGCCUCGGAAUUGAGAAUGAUGGAGGUAGAGCACUGUUUGGACUAGGGGCCCAUCUCGGGUUACCGAAUUCAGAUAAACUCCGAAUGCCAUUCAUUCAUAUCCGGGAGUCAGACUGUGAGUGAUAAGAUCCAUAGUCGAAAGGGAAACAGCCCAGACCACCAGCUAAGGUCCCAAAAUAUAUGUUAAGUGGAAAAGGAUGUGGGGUUGCACAGACAACUAGGAUGUUGGCUCAGAAGCAGCCACCAUUUAAAGAGUGCGUAAUAGCUCACUAGUCGAGUGACCCUGCGCCGAAAAUGUACCGGGGCUAAACAUAUUACCGAAGCUGUGGAUAACACCUAUGGUGUUAUGGUAGGAGAGCGUUCUAAGGGCGUUGAAGGUAGAUCGUGAGGACUGCUGGAGCGCUUAGAAGUGAGAAUGCCGGUAUGAGUAGCGAAAGACAGGUGAGAAUCCUGUCCACCGAAUGACUAAGGUUUCCUGGGGAAGGCUCGUCCGCCCAGGGUUAGUCGGGACCUAAGCCGAGGCCGAAAGGCGUAGGCGAUGGAUAACAGGUUGAUAUUCCUGUACCCGUUGUUUUUGUUUGA